CACACACACACACACACACACACACACACACACUCUAUGUCGAUUUAAAUCAAUACACGUCUACAAUGAGCCAUAGUUGUAACCCUUUUGGCUUUCCAAACACAAACGCUCAAACACAGUCACACACACUCUGGCCAUCAGACUGUUUGCUGACUUGUCUACGUCGCGGUGAGUAGGCGUCUUUGGGAAAUGUGUGUUGGUUUGUGACCGUGUGAUUCAGUUUACCAUCAGAGUGUGUGUGUUUGAGUUGUGUGACUGUGUGUGUGUGUGUGCACACAGGAGUGAUCGCCGAUGUGUUCCCGGAAUGCUCGCCAGGUGAGCUUUCACAGACAAUGAUUGUAUGGUGCAUUUGUGCAGAAAUAGAAGAUUCAAAAACACAUGAGACAAUAGAAUAAAAUAUAUCAAAUAGGAAAUCGAAUUAAAAAACAAAUCUAAUUUAAUGAUUUAACCAUGAUGCUAUCAAGCCCGGUAAAGCAAGGCAUUAACACUGCAAGGGGUAGGUUAGGGGGUUCCAUUCACACCGUAGCAACCGAUAACAAGAAUAUAUAGUCACACACGUUGGAUGAAAGUGGCCAUUGAAAUAACAUAUUGUAUUAUAUUAUGUUAUUAAUAUUAUAUUAUAUUCGGCUCUAUAUUAUUUAUAUUAUAUUAUAUGUAUGAUAUAUUUUUAUUAUAUAUAUGGUUAUUCCUCCUCCUCACCCCAUUAGCCCUGAGUUCCCAUGACCUCCGCCCCCUCCCUGCAGUGUGUUCUGUCCCACAGAGAGUCACCUCACCUGGGGGUGAGGCGGGGGUAAGGGUGGGUCGGGAGGCUGUCCCCUCCGGGUGGUGUGGCAAGGCUGUGGCUGCGUCUAGACGGGAACUGUGAUGUCAUCAGGAAUGUGAAAACCCGACUGAAACCGACCCGGGGUUCUGAUCCGCUGCGGACAAGGACGGCUCCUGUGCCCGACCACUUCCCGUACGUAGACGGGGGUAAUAAUCUGAGAAGCCCCAUCAUGGAAAGAGCCCGUAAGAGGACUGGCAGCGAGGGGAAACUUCGGCCAAACUCACAUCUGGAUUGGAGUUUUGUUUGUCGAUUUUUGUUGAUUUGGUUUCCACCUGGGUUUAUUUUAAUACAUGUAUUGUGUACAUAAGUGUAAAUAUAUAAUCUGUUUCAAAGUGGUAGUGCCUUUGGUAUUUUUACCGUAUUAGCUUGUUUGAUCGCAGUUUUCUUUAUUGCUGCUACUGUGACACUGUAAUGAAUAAAGUGUUGACCUCUU